rnacentral:rRNA from 1 species
GACGAACGCUGGCGCCGUGCCUAAUACAUCCAAGUUGAGUGCUGAAGGUUGGUACUUGUACCAACUGGAUGAGCAGCGAACGGGUGAGUAACGCGUGGGGAAUCUGCCUUUGAGCGGGGGACAACAUUUGGAAACGAAUGCUAAUACCGCAUAAAAACUUUAAACACAAGUUUUAAGUUUGAAAGAUGCAAUUGCAUCACUCAAAGAUGAUCCCGCGUUGUAUUAGCUAGUUGGUGAGGUAAAGGCUCACCAAGGCGAUGAUACAUAGCCGACCUGAGAGGGUGAUCGGCCACAUUGGGACUGAGACACGGCCCAAACUCCUACGGGAGGCAGCAGUAGGGAAUCUUCGGCAAUGGACGAAAGUCUGACCGAGCAACGCCGCGUGAGUGAAGAAGGUUUUCGGAUCGUAAAACUCUGUUGGUAGAGAAGAAGGUUGGUGAGAGUGGAAAGCUCAUCAAGUGACGGUAACUACCCAGAAAGGGACGGCUAAGUACGUG